AGUGAACGCUGGCGGCAGGCCUAACACAUGCAAGUCGAACGGCAGCGCAGCAGUAGCAAUACUGUGGGCGGCGAGUGGCGGACGGGUGAGGAAUACAUCGGAAUCUACCUUGUCGUGGGGGAUAACGUAGGGAAACUUACGCUAAUACCGCAUACGAACUAUGGUUGAAAGCGGCGGACCGCAAGGCGUCGCGCGAUUGGAUGAGCCGAUGUCCGAUUAGCUAGUUGGCGGGGUAAAGGCCCACCAAGGCGACGAUCGGUAGCUGGUCUGAGAGGAUGAUCAGCCACACUGGAACUGAGACACGGUCCAGACUCCUACGGGAGGCAGCAGUGGGGAAUAUUGGACAAUGGGCGCAAGCCUGAUCCAGCCAUGCCGCGUGUGUGAAGAAGGCC
rnacentral:rRNA from 1 species